GAAUUCGCCCUUCGGUAAUUCCAGCUCCAAUAGCGUAUAUUAAAGUUGUUGCAGUUAAAACGCUCGUAGUUGAAUAUCUGCUAUAUGUGGUCGGUCCAUUUCGGUGUGAUCCGUUUCACGAAUUAGCAUUCGUUUGCUUUGACUUAUCAUUGCAAACCGUUUACUUUGAGGAAAUUAGAGUGUUCAAAGCAGGCAAGUGCCUUGAAUACUUCAGCAUGGAAUAAUUGAUAGGACUUCCGUUCUGUCGUUGGUUCUGGGAAUGUGAAGUAAUGAUUAAAAGGGGCGGGCGGGGGCAUUCGUAUUGAACAGUCAGAGGUGAAAUUCUUAGAUUUGUUCAAGACGAACUACUGCGAAAGCAUUUGCCAAGUACGUUCCCAUUAAUCAAGAACGAAAGUUAGGGGAUCGAAGACGAUCAGAUACCGUCGUAGUCUUAACUAUAAACUAUGCCGACUAGAGAUUGGAGGUGAGUCAUUUGGCCACCUUCAGCAUCUUCAGAGAAAUCUAAGUUUUUGGGUUCUGGGGGGAGUAUGGUCGCAAGGCUGAAACUUAAAGGAAUUGACGGAAGGGCACCACCAAGAGUGGAGCCUGCGGCUUAAUUUGACUCAACACGGGGAAACUCACCAGGUCCAGACAUGGGAAGGAUUGACAGACUGAUAGCUCUUUCUUGAUUCUAUGGGUGGUGGUGCAUGGCCGUUCUUAGUUCGUGGACUGAUUUGUCUGGUUGAUUCCGAUAACGAGCGGGAUCUUAACCUGCUAACUAGGUCUUCAGAAUGCGUUCUGAUGUAUCUUCUUAGAGGGACUUUGCAUAUUUAGUGUAAGGAGGUUUGAGGCAAUAACAGGUCUGUGAUGCCCUUAGAUGUUCUGGGCUGCACGCGCGCUACAAUGACACUCUCAGCGAGUUUCCUUUCCCGAAAGGGUUGGGUAAUCUUGUUAGUGAAUGUCGUAAUGGGGAUAGAAUAUUGUAAUUAUUGCUCUUAAACGAGGAAUUCCUAGUAAGCGCAAGUCAACAGCUUGCGCUGAUUACGUCCCUGCCCUUUGUACACACCGCCCGUCGCUGCUACCGAUGGGUGAUCCGGUGAACGAUUUGGACUCUGUCUAUGCUAGCUACUAGCUAUGUCAGGGAAAACUUUGUGAACCUUAUCACUUGGAGGAAGCAGAAGUCGUAACAAGGUAAGGGCGAAUUC
rnacentral:rRNA from 1 species